rnacentral:rRNA from 1 species
GAUGAACGCUGGCGGCGUGCCUAACACAUGCAAGUCGAGCGAGAAACUUCUGAUAGAUCCUUCGGGUGAAAGAAGAAGCGGACAGCGGCGGACGGGUGAGUAACGCGUGGGAAACCUGCCCUAUACAAGGGGAUAGCCUCGGGAAACCGGGAUUAAUACCCUAUAAAACUCUAGCACCGCAUGGUGCAUGAGUCAAAACUCCGGUGGUAUAGGAUGGUCCCGCGUCCCAUUAGCUAGUUGGUGAGGUAGAAGCUCACCAAGGCGACGAUGGGUAGCCGGCCUGAGAGGGUGAACGGCCACACUGGAACUGAGACACGGUCCAGACUCCUACGGGAGGCAGCAGUGGGGAAUAUUGCACAAUGGGGGAAACCCUGAUGCAGCGACGCCGCGUGAGCGAUGAAGGCCUUCGGGUCGUAAAGCUCUGUCCUAAGGGAAGAUAGUGACGGUACCUUAGGAGGAAGCCCCGGCUAACUACGUGCCAGCCGCCGCGGUAAUAC